GGGGGAGGGCGGGCGGGGGCCGGUGACGACACGGCCCUCCUCUCGACGGGAAGCCGUGUGCUGGGCGUGGCGCUGGGCUCGGAGCUACCCGUGCACUUGGGAAUGCCGCUCUCGGGAGCCUCGGCUGACCACGCUGACAGCAGAAAGGACGCCCUGGAGCAGGUGCCGCAGCGGCAGGUCCUUGCGGAGCUGGGAGGGGUUCUGGUUUCUAUAAUUGGGAGAAAGCAGGAGCUGAAGGGAAACAAGCGGCUGUUAGGAUGAGGAGCCUGCACAUUCCAUCCGGUUUCAACAGGGUCGUGCGCUCAGAAGCGUCAGGUGCAUUUCCUGGACGAGCGCCACCUGAAUGCAACCGCUUCCAAGCACAGACAGCGUCAUUCCCCCAUUUAUGGGUGAUGAAUUCCUGUAAUGUUUUGCCAGUUACUCUGUGGUGCUCAUUAGAGCUAAUCAGCUGAGUACAUAAUAUAGAAGGAGGAGAAAGGAGAUCGGCAAUGAAAUACUAAAAAAUAACUGCUUUGGUGCAGUGUUAUAAUUGCGUUCUCUGCUUUUUGAACACCCGCAUUAGCUCUGGGGGAAGAAAACAGCCUGGUUCCAUAAGUCAAACGAUUUACUGCCAACCUGAAAUGAUUCAGGAUUGGCUUCCAAAAGAUGGAAAGCAGCACAGCUGUGUACACAGCGUUGCAAGCUCCACUCUCCUGGCCUCUCCCAUGGGUUGUGUCCUUGCCCGCAUGCCAGACCAGCCCAUCACUCCUGACCCCUGGGUGCAGGCAGGGGUCCAGCACCUGGUGGUCGAAUGAGGGAACGAACAGCAAAUAUAUUUCAGCUACUGCCAAGGUCCCAGGGGGUGUUCUCGUGUCACCUGGCUCCGACACAGUCACCUGAACGCCUGGCACGGGGCCCAGGGCUGCCCAGGCGAUGGCAGCCUUUAAUCAACGGGUGGCCGGCCAGGCAGUCUGGCGUGUGCAAUGGGAACCGGACGCUUGCCCUCCGGACAUUUAAAGUUCCCUAGUGGUCACAUUUAGGAAGUAAAAAACAGGUGGUUACAAAAUUGGCUCGAAAUUCUCCUUGUGCAUCUCACUGCAAGCGGGUGUCAAGACUUGGAAGAGUGCAUCGUUAGAAGGUCUCGGAGAACGUGCCCUGGCUACCCUGCUGGAGGGCAAGAUACGUGUGAGCAGAGCAGAGGACCCAGUAUCCCAGCCAGGGCCACCCAACCUGUCUGCAGACACGCAGGCGAGCCAGCCAAGACCAGCGAAGCAAGAGGUGAUCACACGAGCAGGAGGUGGCGUUUAGACUCUGGAUGUACAAUUCAAUCUUAUUUGGAAGGACUCAUCGUGGUCUCCCCUUCCCUUCAGAACCCCAGAAGCCUCCUUUUGUUGGUCUGUGGAUAUUAAGAGAGAAAGUGACAACAGUGACCUAAAAUCUGGGAUCCUCGUUCUAUUCUGGGUCUGAGUGCCGAUAAGGUUUUCAACUUUGGGGAAAUUGCCAUGUCCCUGUUUGUCUCCUCUUUUUCUGUUUAAUGGUGGAUGAUGUGGAUUCUCUCUGAAGAGCUCUGAGGUCCUGGGUUGGAAGUGGAAGCCGCCUCUGGUCUGGGGCGCGUCCCAGCUCCUUGGAGACUUGGAGCCCUAGGUACCACAUCCCCUGGGCUCUGCCCUCUGCUCCCCCUCCCUCUCCUGGGCUCCUCCUCUCUCCAGCUCCCUCUCUUCCUCCCUCCAUCUGUGUCCCUUUCUUUCUCCCUCUCUGUCUCUCUUUCCAGACGGUGUACACAACAACGUCCCUAGCAGGGUCCUGGGAGCCUCAUGCUCCAUCUUGGACUUCUGGAGUUCAGACACGUGGGGAGAAGCCCAGGCUGGCCUUCUAGAGACACAUGGUCCCCCCGACAGCCAGAGCCAGCUUCCAGCCAGGAACAAACCAUCAGAGACCAUGCAGCCACAUCUCUGCCUGAUGUCCAAAUUACUGGUCAUGGAAUCGGGGCAAAGAAAGAGGCUGCUCAGCUCUGGGGUGAUAGAGUAGUUUCUGUGCAACAGCAGACAGGGACUCAGUGGCUGUGGAUACUGGUGCAGUGGACAGAGAGACAGUCGAGCCCAUGUCUUCUUGAGCUACCAGACAUCAUCCUCUGAGCAACUUCACAGCUUCUCCAUGUAGACCUGCAUGUCUGCUCAUCAGUGAUAAAAGAAAAGUUUUGCAGCUGGGGCCCAUCUGACUGGAAUUUGUGAUUGAUUGUGAAGCGGCACCUCCCUCUAAGGCACUGCUGAUGCUUUUCUGUAGAAAAGGAAGAAAGUCCCCUCCCACCUCUGUCGCGUCAGUGGUGAAAGCAGCUGGCUUGGCUUUGCGGACGUGUCAUCUGACGUGACCAACAAGAGUGUCUGACGUGCUGGUGUCUGUGAUGUCAGUAGGCUAGACCAUCCUGCCAAAGUGCAAUGACACGAAAAAACUGCACUUAGGGAAAGAAAAUGCCACGAAAGCCCUAAAGAUCUGAAGCAGGGGGACCUCUGGGGUCAGCGACAGGGUGGAGACAGAGAGGCACAAGGAAACCAGCGCGACACAGCUGUCCUGUCCCCAAGCAGCGAGUGCGGCAUCCCCUGUGGUGGAAAGUCCUGUGAGGGCCACACCGUGUGAAGACAGGCCCCUUGCCUGCUGAAGCCCUGCGGGUGCCCAGAGAGGUGCGCUGGCACUGCAUGGGGCAGAGAGGGACCGGAAGACGGGUCCUCCCUGAGAGCUGGCCUCAGGACAUGCUCGGUGGAGUGCCAGCAGGUGGUGAUCCCGGUGAGGUCUCAGAGGCCUUUCAGGAGGAACACUGGUCUUACAUAAGUGAUUUCAGAAAACAGGAAAGAAAAAAACACAUCCCAACUUGUUGUAUGAGACUGGCAGAACCUUGAUACAAAAACCGGAUAAGGACAUCACCAGAGAGGAAAAUCACACGAUGAACAUGGGUGCAGAAAUCCUAGACAAAAUAUUAGCAAACUGAAAUCAGUAAAAGGAGAAGGAAAAAUACCUCAUUGUCAAGGUGGAUGUGUUUUAGAAAUAGAUUAUCAUUAGAGAAUCAAUCAAUAAAAUUCAAUGUACUGACAUGUGAAAUGAGAAAAAUAAUAUGUUCACCUAAGUAGACUUAUAAAAUGCAUUAGACGGAGUUCAACAUGCAUUCAUAAUUUUAAUAAAAGCACACCUCUUACUUAUCAAACUAAAAAUAGACAGGGACUCCCUUAAUCUGAUAAAGGAUAGACCUGCAGCAAACACCACAGGGACUCCCUUAAUCUGAUAAAGGAUAGACCUGCAGCAAACACCGUACUCAAUGGUGAAAUGCAGAGAAUUUGCCUGAGAGGUGAACAGAGGACAGGGCUGUCACCUAACACCACUUCUAUCCAACUCUGUGUUGGAUGGCUCCUCCAGAGCAAUAAGGACUAAAAGAGUUAAAGUUAUAAAGACUGCAAAGGGGGCUCCCCUGGUGGCGCAGUGGUUGAGAAUCCGCCUGCCGAUGCAGGGGACACGGGUUUGUGCCCCGGUCCGGGAAGAUCCCACGUGCCGUGGAGCGGCUGGGCCCGUGAGCCAUGGCCGCUGAGCCUGCGCGUCCGGAGCCUGUGCUCCGCAACGGGAGAGGCCACAACAGUGAGAGGCCCGCGUACCAAAAAAAAAAAAAAAAAAAAAAGACUGUAAAGGAAUAAAUAAAAUUAUCAUUACUCACAGAUGAAUGUGCACAUAG